CAAUGGGCGAAGUAGGAAAUAGACUUGUCCAUAUCUUUCAGAGAAAAGCGAGGUAGGGAGUGAGUAGGUCCACCUUGACUGAGAUGGGAAGCGGAGGGACCAGAGUUUACCCAGUGGUGUGGGAUGAAGCCCCUGUAGCCAUAGCCAUAGUAAGAUGGGCUCUGAGCACCUGGUGAGGCUCCUCACGCACCACACCGUGGCAGUGCUCAGGAGGAGGCCAGCGGUGCUCUUUAGCAUUCAUAACAGACUCACCAGAGUCUCUGAAGAUCUGAAGGUCUUCAGCCAAUGAGAAAACAGAAGCAGGGUGUUUAUUUAAAAUAAUAAAUGAGCUUUACCCUCUGCUCCCAUAAUCCAUGCAGUUGGUACUGACUGUUUUCUGCAAGCUGGAGUCACACUGGCGUGGGUGCUUCAAAACCACGUUGUAAGGUGACAAAGAAGAGGGGACCCUUCUCCCUAAUCACACGAGGAAAGCGCCUGAGUUCUUUGUUCCUCUGUCUGGCCCAAUGACUUCAAAACAACCAGAUAACUGAACAUCACUGGAGGAGUUUUCAACGACAGCCAUUAGCUUAAGAGAUCCGUCUGUUUUCUCUCAGACACCGGGCCACCGUUUUUAAAGAGUCUUUUUCCUAAGCCAAGAAGUCAUACAAAUAAUAUUUAAAGGCAAAGAGGCUCUCUCUGGGACAGAUUGGAUAGUUCAGCAGUCAAGUGGUUUUCUGUUCCUGCUUGUUGACAUCUCUUGUUUUUAAUCUACUUUUGUGGAAAAGCAAGGCAA